AUUGAACGCUGGCGGCAGGCCUAACACAUGCAAGUCGAACGAGUGGCGGACGGGUGAGUAAUGUCUGGGAAACUGCCCGAUGGAGGGGGAUAACUACUGGAAACGGUAGCUAAUACCGCAUACCAUCGGAUGUGCCCAGAUGGGAUUAGCUUGUUGGUGGGGUAACGGCUCACCAAGGCGACGAUCCCUAGCUGGUCUGAGAGGAUGACCAGCAACACGGGAACUGAGACACGGUCCAGACUCCGACGGGAGGCAGCAGUGGGGAUUAGUGCACAAGGGGCGCAAGCCGGAUGCAGCCAUGCCGCGUGUAGGAAGAAGGCCUUCGGGUUGUAAAGUACUUUCAGCGGGGAGGCGUUACCCGCAGAAGAAGCACCGGCUAACUCCGUGCCAGCCGCCGCGGUAAUAC
rnacentral:rRNA from 1 species